GUUUGAUUGGCUGCUGGCAAACGUUUUGGGUAAGAAAGUACUAAACAAUGGCGAAGCUUGUUGUUGUUCCAGUUUUUCUUAUUCUCCUCCAUCUGCUGUCCCACUCAUCCAUGUUCAUCAUACCAUCCACCGCACACGUGCAUCCUCGAAACCUCUACACGUGUGUUCCACACGGAAUGUGUGUGUGGAGCUGCCCGCCAAAAAGCUUUCCGUAUAAAUACGGGAUCGAAAUCCCAAACAAGUCAAUCACUAACGCUACUAAACUCACUCACAUGGAUAAGCAAGGCGCUGUCGAUGCUCAGAAAAUUCGAUCCGAUUUCCUCAAAGUUUUGCGGAGCAGAAGAUCUGCUGAAGUUCCGCUGACGGUGGAACCCGCAAAACCUGUAGCAAAUCCUUUAUUUCAGGAAGCUUCACCGCCACGCCAUAGUGAGGCAAUGGAGUCAUGUCCACGGGUUAAGAUAGAAAAUUUUAAGGAGUUACUGAAAGAAGAAAAUUUUUACCUGCAUACUGAGGCAGGAGAGCAGGGGCGCUUGCCUGUGUUGAUUUUAAGUUUGAAAGAAAGUGAACACCGAAGAAGGCCUGCUAUUGUUUUUCUGCAUAGUACAAAUAAGAACAAAGAGUGGUUACGGCCGUUGCUUGAGGCAUAUGCUUCUCGAGAUUACAUAGCAAUCGCUAUUGAUUCUCGCUAUCAUGGAGAACGUGCUAAAAACUUAACCACUUAUCGAGAUGCACUUGUUUCAUCAUGGAAGAAGGGUGAUACAAUGCCAUUCAUAUUUGAUACAGCUUGGGACUUGAUAAAGCUAGCAGAUUAUUUAACACAGAGAGAAGAUAUAGACCCAACCAGGAUAGGAAUCACUGGAGAAUCACUUGGAGGAAUGCAUGCAUGGUUUGGUGCUGCUGCUGACACCCGCUAUGCUGUGGUUGUUCCUAUAAUUGGAGUUCAGGGAUUUCGAUGGGCCAUAGAUAACAAUCAAUGGCAAGCUCGAGUUGACAGUAUAAAGGCUGUGUUUGAAGAAGCAAGGAUUGAUUUAGGUAAGAGCGCUAUUGAUAAAGAGGUGGUGGAGAAGGUCUGGGAUAGAAUUGCUCCUGGUCUAGCCUCUCAGUUCGAUUCACCUUACACAAUUCCAGCCAUUGCUCCCCGGCCACUGCUUAUUGUGAAUGGUAUAAUUAUUUUGUAAAACUUCAAUCUCCCCCAUAUAAUUGUUCGGUGCAGAGGCUUAUUCUCACAGUAGGGUUUCAAUUGGUGCACCCUAGACUCAAAGUGCAGAAGAUCCUCGCUGUCCACUUCCAGGUUUGGAAGUUCCCAAAGAUAAAGCAUGCAAGGCUUACGGAGAGGUCAAUUGUAUUAAUAAAUUUAAGUUGAUUGCUCAACCUGGAAUUGGGCACCAGAUGACACCAUUGAUGGUUAAAGAAGCUAGCGAUUGGUUCGACAAGUUUCUGAAGAAUUAAUUUUCUUAAUGCAAUAUUUGUAUUUAUCGUUUUUUACAUCUAUUCUGGACAGACGGAUUUCAGUUGAGUAGUUCGAAAUCCUAGUAAGAUGUCAUAAUAAGAUCUUCCUAUUGAAUAACUUUUCCAAA